rnacentral:tRNA from 1 species
GGGAAUGGGGCCUUGGCUCAAUGGCAGAGCAUUUGCUCUGUGUGUAGAAGGUCUCAAGUUCAAUUCCUGGCACCUCUG